CAUAAGAAGACCAUAAAAAUGAGUUAUAUAUUUUGGGAGGUAUACAAAUAAAAAUUAAAGGAUCGUAUUUUUUCUCUUCUAAAGAGGGUCCUUAAUGAUAUAUUGCCACCUUAUUUUGACAUUUCAAGCAAUAAGUGGACUUAAGUGAACCCUGAACAGAGGUCUAUGAACAGAGAUUAAAAUAAAUCCGUAAGACACCACGAAACGCUUCGACUAUCUGUGAUUUCAAGAUAUUUUUUUAUCGCUGGCAGUUUCAGUGCAACAUUCUUGUUUUUAAUCAGUUUUGAAACACAGUGAGGACUUGGCUCCAGCAUUUUUUUUGACGUUAUUACGAAGCACGGACAUGUUUUCCAAGUAUUCCAGAAAGCCCUGGACCGCUUCCUGGUUCCUGGCAGUGGUCCUGGGAUGCUGACUGUUCCCUCUGCCAGCAUCUGGAAACCAUCAGUGUAAACAAUGGAGUUCUCCGGGCUGGAUCUCCUUCCCCGACUCCCACGAGACUUCAAUCCCAGCAACACGAGAACGCAGGAGCCGCUGGACACUGUGUGACACUGCAGUGAAAAUCCCAGGAAGGAGGCUGUUUCUGAGAUGCUGGGACCACCACGUAUGACACCGACAGCAACAUCCUGUCCGCGAUUGGCCGGACAAACACACCUGAAGCCCAUAAAGAAAAAAUGCAUCCAAAGUAAUGGCUCCUUCCCCCUGAGUCUCCAGGAACAUGCUGGGAGUUUGGCAGCACUGCAUCGUUUCAGUUACAAUUACAAACAAGGUGGGAGAAGAAUCACAUCUGGAUUUCAGCCAAAAAAGCAACCAGUGAAAGACACAGAAUCAUCAACAAAGAGCUGAAGCAGCAGGACCAUUAACACAUCAGCAACGAGGAAACACAUUCUACCUGUAAAUGCCCAACAUAGCAGAUGUAAACAAAACACAGGUUCUGUGUUGGCUGGUUAGAUUGACGGCAUGACAGGAAUUUACAACCGCUUAGAAAUUUUCAACACCGUAAAUCUAGCAGUGACCCUCAGAGCAAAAUGGAUCCAACAGACUCCAAAAACCUCAGUUAUCUAGAAGUUUUGCAAUCACUUACUUUAGUUAUACAAUCAUUUGGGCUGAGACAUUCUGCUUGAUAGCACGUCACAGCUGCUGACUGACACCAUAAUGCUGACCAGAGGGGCCAAACCUAUGCUCUGGACAGCACGCUGCUUCUCAUCACAGCACAUUUUCCUGGAUUUAUUUCAUUAAUUUAUGACAUGUGUUUGCAGCUUCUAAAUGUAUUAAGAUGAUGUCAAUGAAUAAUAAGUAGAUCGUUACAAUGCAAGGGUUGAUCAUAAAAUUGAACAUAGAUAACUUGACAAGUCUUUUGCCAAUUUGAGCAGCAAACUGUAAAAUUCAAUUUAGAAUGUUUUUUUUCCCCCACACAAUAAGUACUGACAGUACACAGAACAAUUUUUAAAGGGAUACAUUUGAAUUAUUGCGUGUGAAUACUAAUGACAACAUGAUUCUGGGUGAAUGCACAAAUUAAUGCCCAAAAUGUUUGCAGAUGAGCAGACUCACAAUGACCUCCUAAGACGCAUUCCAGUAUAAUGGAAACAAGCCUCCUACUCCUUGCUACAGAACCUUAACUUUGGCUAUAAGAGUCCCCAAGCUAUAAAAAGAGCACAGGACUUGGACAGGAUGCAGUUUAGUUAUAGCGAGGGCACACUGUAAAACGUCUCCAUAAUCCGCCAGUCAUGACGUACGGGGCAAUCGUUAAUGUAACAAAGGCAGGCAUGCAGUGUCACGUAUGUGGGACACAAAAAGCAUGUGGAAGCUACAAAGCAAAGAGCCCAGCACACAGCUAUAGACAGCAAAUUAACAGCUGCUCAAGGACAAAGUUUUUUGUAUUCGAUGAAUGAGUCCUUAAACUGUACAGACAUUACACUUAUCGACCAGCAAUUUAUUCCAGCCUACAGGAUAACUUUUUUCUAUAAGAAUAUAUGAGAAUUUAUACUUAAAUGGAAGCAUAUGAAAACAGAGGGCCUUUCGUGCAAUUUCCACAUGUAUUGUGUUUGUUAAACCACAGCAUCUAUCCAAACAGCUUUUGUUUCAAACCAACUGUAUUUUAUUUAGCUUAUUUAAAGAUACACAACUGUUAUAACUUAUGUCAAAACAUCCCGAUUCAAUAUGUACUUGGGCUCUGCGAUGUUCUGUAAGUAAAAAUAUGUUACUCUUCCACAAUG